UCCAAAACUAUAGAUAUCUAUUCAUUCCAAUGAAUAUGGAAUGGCAUUGGUAUUUACUUGUUUUGGACUUGAAGCAGCAGUGUUUUCAAUGCUACAAUUCUAUGUGGAGCUUCAAUGAUGCAAACUAUAAUAUUAAAUUUGCAUCAUUUCUGCGAUUUUGGCUAAGCGACCGCGUAGGAUACCAUAUCCCGGAAAUUAUCAUUCAUGAAAUUCGAGAGUGUCCACAGCAAAUGCCGGAUACUCUCGACUGUGGGGUAUACUUGCUCAUGUAUGCGGAGGAACUGACACGGGGCACUUCGAGACCAUUGCUGGAACAGUUCAAGGAUCCCUCUUUAUAUAGAAGCUGGGUUGCAGGCAAUAUUUUGUUGAAUGACCAUUGCAGUACAAAUGAUAGUUUCUGGAAUUGGUAUGAGAAGAUAUGUAGAAAGAGAGAUUAGAGCAGGCAACCUACUCCUACAUUUUCUUUUUUUGUGUAAUGUAACAAUGAGACAGUUAUGAUGAAUACAUUUGUAUUAUUGAGAUGAUUGGCAUUAUUGU